rnacentral:rRNA from 1 species
UAGGUGGCAAGCGUUGUCCGGAAUUAUUGGGCGUAAAGCGCGCGCAGGCGGAUCAGCCAGUCUGUCUUAAAAGUUCGGGGCUUAACCCCGUGAGGGGAUGGAAACUACUGAUCUAGAGUAUCGGAGAGGAAAGUGGAAUUCCUAGUGUAGCGGUGAAAUGCGUAGAUAUUAGGAAGAACACCAGUGGCGAAGGCGACUUUCUGGACGAAAACUGACGCUGAGGCGCGAAAGCCAGGGGAGCGAA